AAGUCAUAACAAGGUUUCCGUAGGUGAACCUGCGGAAGGAUCAUUAAUAGUGCUCAUUGACGCAAGUCAGUGAGUUAGAUCUGCUCUCUUCGCAAGAAGAGGGUUUCCAUACACACCGUGAACUGUGGCUUCGGCCAUCACAAACUGUUAGUAAUGAAUGUAAUAUCAUAACAAAAACAAAACUUUUAACAACGGAUCUCUUGGCUCUCGCAUCGAUGAAGAACGCAGCGAAAUGCGAUAAGUAAUGUGAAUUGCAGAAUUCAGUGAAUCAUCGAAUCUUUGAACGCACCUUGCGCCCUUUGGUAUUCCGAAGGGCAUGCCUGUUUGAGUGUCAUGAAACCUCACUCCACUUGGGUUUUUGCCUGAGUGGUAGUGUAUUGGGUGUUGCCUUGCUAAAGGCUCGCCUUAAAGACAUAAGCACCUUGGAUGUAAUACGUUUCAUCCUUCUGGGUGGCUGAUAACCCCACAUAUUCAUGAUCUGGCCUCAAAUCAGGUAGGGCUACCCGCUGAACUUAAGCAUAUCAAUAAGCGGAGGAAAAGAAACUAACUGGGAUUCCCUUAGUAACGGCGAGUGAACCGGGAUGAGCUCAAAUUUAAAAUCUGGCGUCUUUCAGGCGUCCGAGUUGUAAUCUAUAGAGGCGUUUUCCGCGCCGGACCGCGUCCAAGUCUCUUGGAAUAGAGUAUCAAAGAGGGUGACAAUCCCGUACUUGACGCGACAACCGGUGCUCUGUGAUACGUUCUCAAUGAGUCGAGUUGUUUGGGAAUGCAGCUCUAAAUGGGUGGUAAAUUCCAUCUAAGGCUAAAUAUUGGCGAGAGACCGAUAGCGAACAAGUACCGUGAGGGAAAGAUGAAAAGCACUUUGGAAAGAGAGUUAGACAGCACGUGAAAUUGUUAAAAGGGAAACGAUUGAAGUCAGUCGUGUGAAAGGUAUUCAGCCGUCUCUGGCGGUGUAUUUGCCUUUCACGGGUCAACAUCAGUUUGAUCCGGUAGAAAAAGGCAGGAUGAAGGUGGCACCCUCGGGUGUGUUAUAGCUUCCUGUCAUAUGUGCCGGACCAGACUGAGGAACGCAGCUUGCCGCAAGGCCGGGGUUCGCCCACGUACAAGCUUAGGAUGUUGACAUAAUGGCUUUAAACGACC
rnacentral:rRNA from 1 species